GGCGGCAGGCUUAACACAUGCAAGUCGAGCGGGCGUAGCAAUACGUCAGCGGCAGACGGGUGAGUAACGCGUGGGAACGUACCUUUUGGUUCGGAACAACACAGGGAAACUUGUGCUAAUACCGGAUAAGCCCUUACGGGGAAAGAUUUAUCGCCGAAAGAUCGGCCCGCGUCUGAUUAGCUAGUUGGUGUGGUAACGGCGCACCAAGGCNACGAUNAGUANCUGGUCUGAGAGGAUGAUCAGCCACAUUGGGACUGAGACACGGCCCAAACUCCUACGGGAGGCAGCAGUGGGGAAUAUUGGACAAUGGGCGCAAGCCUGAUCCAGCCAUGCCGCGUGAGUGAUGAAGGCCCUAGGGUUGUNAAGCUCUUUUGUGCGGGAAGAUAAUGACGGUACCGCNAGAAUAAGCCCCGGCUAACUUCGUGCCAGCAGCCGCGGUAAUACGAA
rnacentral:rRNA from 1 species